GCUCAGCAAGCAGCUUGGCUUCCUGCUGGCCCUGCUCAGUCUCCAGCGUCUCCACCCUGGCUUGGAGCUGUGUGUUGUUUGCAGCAAGAGUGGCUGCCUCUUGUUUCAGGGUUUCCAGCUGGUGGUAUAAAGAGAUAAACUGGGAUCAGCAUGACUCCUCAGUCACCAAGCCUCCUCUGGAAAUGGAAGAACACCAGGAACCCAAAGCACACUAUCAAACCUUGAAGAGAAAGCAGCUUACUACCCAAAGGCCCAGAAGAGCACAGUGGUAAACUGGACUCAGCUUUGCAUGUGUGGUCAAGACUGUGGCUGUGACCCCAGCAGAGGGUUACCUUAUCCUGCAGGGCUGUGCUGAGCUCCUUCUCCAGCUGGGCCUGCUUCUCCAGCCACUCCUGAGUGGCCCUGCUGUGCUCCUCUGUCAGCUCAUUGAGGGCAUCCUGUAGCUGCUGCAGGUGACUGGCAAACUCCCGCAGCUGAGAUGGGCGAGUGAGAAUCCCCAUCACCCAGGGUCAACGCUGACCCUACCACUGCUGUCUGCUCCCUGAACCCCAGGGGCUGGAUGCCUCCAAUUAUCCUGCCAACCCUCCACAAACCAAUCACAGCCAUCACACCUCUAAUUCAGGACCACAAAUCAAACUUUAGGAUCACAACUCAGUACCUGGGAAGCAGCCAAUUAUGGGACAAGGAAAGGGGCAAAAUAUGCAGGUCUCUGGAGAGACUGGAGCGUAAGACAGGUGCUGGGACAUUCUUCUCAACCCUCUCUUGGGGAGCCUUCCAGACCGCCUCAGCCCUGAGGGGCCUCCAUGCACACACCACCUUAACACCCACCUUAAAGGAAAGGUCUCCAUUCUCCUCCAAAAGCUGGCUGAUCUUGCGAUCCAUCUGGCUCUUCUCUGUCUUCAGGUCCUGGCACUGCUUCAGGGUUUCAUGCAGCCGCAUGGUAAGGCUGCGAGGGAGGGAAGCAGCGAGAAGAGGGUAUGGAUGGGCCCCUGGCUGGGUGCACGCAGGGGCUGGAGCCUGGGAAGGAAUGCAGGGAGAGCUGUACCUCUCAUUCUUGUCACGUAGCUCCUCAAGCUCCCUGGGCUCCAGUGGGCUGGCUGCCUGCUUCUCAUUCAGCAGGGCUAGGCGGUCAAUGCGCUGCUGCAUCAUGGCUAUCUGUGCAUCUGCCCAGAGUGGAGGGAGGAGGAGAGGAGAAUCAGCACAGAACUAUGUGCAGGAGGGGAAGGGAGGAGGUGGCAUAGGGAGGAGGAGGCAUACGGAGGAGGAGGAAUAUGGUAUCCAAUCUAAGGGAAAGAGAAGAUGGGGACAAAGACAGAACCCAACUUCCAGGAGGUCAGCUUGACCACAGGCCCAGGGCUGAGCUCUAAGCUCCAGGGGCCAGCAGAGGGGACAACAUGGGAGGCCAAGGGGACAUCCUUCUGGCAAGUCUAUUCACACAUCUGCCAGCAUGCCAGCCACCUACCCUUCUCGGUGAGGAGCUUGCGGUUCUCAGCCAGCUCCAGCUCCAGCUCAUCCCUAUUACUUCUCUCAUCGGCAAGCUGCUUCUUCAGCCGUCUCAUCUGGAACUGUGGGGUCUGCAGGAUAUCGCCCAUGGGAGAAGCUGGAGAACCUGAGAGAAAGCUGAGGAGGGAGAAGGCCCAGUUGCAUUGAGCCAGCUCCUGAAUUCUGGACUCACAUUUCCAACAUCUCCACCUGAAGGUCUCAUGAGGAACCUGAAUACAAGGAACAUCAAACUCAAUGGCUAGAACUCGCCUGGACCUCCUUCUUACACUCCUAUCAUCCACCAGCUGACCUCUUCAUCAGAAGACCAGCAGAACGAUCACUCUUUCUACUGUAGCACCAGCCGAGACCGUUGAUAUAUUCCGUACUUAGAUUCCUUAUCAUAUUUCCUGGUUUACGUAUCUGCCUUUCCACCUAGAACAUGUGCUACAUGAUGGGAAAAACGUUUUUUAAAAGACUGUGGGCUGGGUGCAGUGGCUCAUGCCUGUAAUCCUAACACUUUGGGAGGCUGAGACAGGUAGAUCACCUGAUGUCAGGAGU